rnacentral:rRNA from 1 species
GGGAAGCUCACCAGAUAAGACAGCUGAAUGAUAGUCGGGCUGAAGACUCUACUUGACUAGCUGAGAGGAGGUGCAUGGCCGUCGUCAGUUCGUACUGUGAAGCAUCCUGUUAAGUCAGGCAACGAGCGAGACCCACGCCAACAGUUGCCAGCUCGUCCUCCGGGAUGGUGGGGGCACUGUUGGGACCGCCUCUGCUAAAGAGGAGGAAGGAAUGGGCAACGGUAGGUCAGCAUGCCCCGAAUUAUCUGGGCUACACGCGGGCUACAAUGGGUGGGACAAUGGGUAUCGACACCGAAAGGUGAAGGCAAUCUCCUAAACCCAUCCGUAGUUCGGAUUGUGGGCUGCAACUCGCCCACAUGAAGCUGGAAUCUGUAGUAAUCGUGUCUCAAAAUGGCACGGUGAAUAUGUCCCUGCUCCUU